CGACCCCCCCCCUCCCGUCCCCGGGGCCCGGGCAGCGGCUUCCCGCCGCGGGGCCCGCGAGCGCCGUCGCUGCUGGGGGCCGCCCGGCCGGCCGCCCGCCUGGGAUGAGAGGCCGCCCCCUCUGCCGGCCGCGGAAGGGGGAGCGCCCGGCGGCCGCAGGCGCCCGAGGCCGGAGGGCAGCGCGGGCCCCCGGCCCGGCCAUGGGGCGCAAGAAGAAGACGUUGCACGACUACGCGGCCGAGUUCAGCGACCUGGGCGUCAAGCGGCACCUAAUCGAGCACGGCGGCGCCGGGGAGAGCUCGGUGGUGGAGACCCUCUACUGCAAGUCCUGCGAGCUGCCCAUGCGGGUGCGGCGGGACCGCAUCCUGGAGCACCUCUCCUCCGGCCGCCACUACCGCAACCGCCGGCUGGUCAAGCAGCACGGCCUCCGCACGCCCAUCCUCAUAUCUGCAGGUUCAGACCUUGGUACCAGCCUUUCCAUGCAACUUGACACUCCUUCCCUGCUUUCUCAGCCUUCAUUUAUUCUCUCAACCAACCCCUGCAUCACCAGCACUGGCACCAGCUAUACCAUGGUACCAUCUCCACCUUCCUACCACAAGUCCUUGAUCCCUGUUCACCCCAGCGCCAUCACCUCCACAACCAGUGUCAUGUCUGCCAGAGAAGACCAAACACCCUCUACCUCUACCAGUCACCCUUCGGCAUUCGCUGCUCUCCAUAUGAGAAAUGCGCCUGUUCCCUCAAAACAGAGCACCCAAAGACUUGUUAUUUCUGAGGCAUCCAACAGCGUGGCUUCUGGAGGGUCAGUGGGACGGUACAGCAGUAGUGGGACUUCAGGAAGCAAUAUUGGUCUUGCCCUCUUCGGCGUGGGGCUUGGUAACAAAGCAUUGUUUCAAAGUUUGAUGGAAGAAAAUGGCUGCUGUUUGCUUUACAUUGUGGAGGAUCAGCUGCCAGAUGUGGAACGUGCCUUCAAUACAGAAUUCCUGGCCAACACUAGGGUGCUACGGCAGCAGGAUGCCGACAUAGUGCUCAAUGAUCAACGUGUCUCUGGAGCCAUUGUCUGUUCACCACCUGAAGCAGCCUCUGAAAUUGUGAUAGAUGCUUUACGAGCAGAUAUGGCCUACUUGAAGGAUGCAGACACUGUAGCAGUCAGCAUGAAAUUUCCUAGUGGAGCAAUUGUUACUUUGGACGUCAGUCACCACUGUACUAAAAGCUGUGAUCAGAGACUAGAGGUUCAUGGUUCUCAAGGAACAUUACGGGUAGAUAAUCAGAAUCCCUUGGGAAUUACAGAACAUGGAACAUCUGUGUCCAUAUAUUCACAAACCCAGGCUGAUCGGUACAAAGAAGCAUACAGAGAACUCUUUAGACACUUUCUCAGAACCCUCAAAGGCAAAGAACCCCCUAUUAUCACCAAAGAGCAGUUUCUCUGGACGAUUCAGGUAGCUGCAGCUGCCGAGCAGUCUUGGAGGAAUGGAUCUGCUGUUGACUUACGCAACGAAGCAAUAGACGUGUCUCUAAUCAAGACUGAAAUCAUGUGA
rnacentral:lncRNA from 1 species